rnacentral:rRNA from 1 species
UACAGAGGUCCCAAGCGUUGUUCGGAUUCACUGGGCGUAAAGGGUGCGUAGGCGGGUCUUUAAGUCAGAGGUGAAAUCCUGGAGCUCAACUCCAGAACUGCCUUUGAUACUGAGGGUCUUGAGUAUGACAGAGGUGAGUGGAACUGCGAGUGUAGAGGUGAAAUUCGUAGAUAUUCGCAAGAACACCAGUGGCGAAGGCGGCUCACUGGGUCAUUACUGACGCUGAGGCACGAAAGCGUGGGGAGCAAACAGGG